GACGAACGCUGGCGGCGUGCUUAACACAUGCAAGUCGAACGGUAAGGCACUUUCGGGGGUACACGAGUGGCGAACGGGCGAGUAACACGUGAGUAACCUGCCCUUAACUCUGGGAUAACCGCCGGAAACGGUUGCUAAUACCGGAUAUUCAGCUUCUGCCGCAUGGGGGGUGUUGGAAAGCUUUUGUGGUUAAGGAUGGGCUCGGGGUCUAUCAGCUUGUUGGUGGGGUAGUGGCUUACCAAGGCUUCGUCGGGUAGCCGGCCUGAGAGGGUGACGGGCCACAUUGGGACUGAGAGACGGCCCAAGCUCCUACGGGAGGCAGCAGUGGGGAAUAUUGCAAAAUGGACGGAAGUCUGAUGCAGCAACGCCGCGUGCGGGAUGACGGCCUUCGGGUUGUAACCCGCUUUCAUCCAUGACGAAGCGAGAGUGACGGUAGUGGGAGAAGAAGCACCGGCUAACUACGUGCCAGCAGCCGCCGUAACAC
rnacentral:rRNA from 1 species